CUUUUACUAUUGAUGGCCAAAGUUCAUACGACUUUAUAGACAGGGUUGUAAUGGAGGGCACAACAAAAAAGCCAAAAAAAAAAGCACAAAUUAUACUGUUUAUAUAUAACUCAUCUCAUAUUUUAAGAAAUAACUGCAAUAUUCAUAAUUGUCUUAUUCUUCCACAGUGAAAUUGUGUGGAGCCUUUAAUUUGAAAACAUCACAGACAUUAUGAAAAUUACAUGCCUUUUACAUUCCAAAGUUAAGCACUCAUUUGCAGAGCACUGCCUGGGGUAAGGCUACACUUGGAAAUGAGGUGAAUGUAAUACCAACUUGCUCAUUAACAAAUUCAGCUGAUGACCUGGCAGCAUUCGUGGCACUAAUGCUAUUAUAGAAACCUUACCUCCUAGGACACUCUGGAUGUUACCUGACGAUGAACAACUCUGCAUAAGGCUCUUGUCCAGAGGUCAUCACUAGAGGUUCUCCUAGGCAAGCAGAUUCUGUUUCUAUUUCCACACUAAAGCACUCUUCAGGUUCUGCAUUCUUUCAAGGGUGGUGAACCAUGGAAUCUGCUCUUCGAAUGAAGUGUGGAAGUUAUCCUGCUCAGUAAAAGUAACCUUUUCAAUUUUGUGGAAAUUCUUUAGUUGUCCAUUUUCACUAUGUAAAAUGGAUCACUUUCUGGGUGGAGUUACUAACCACCCAUAAUUUAAACCUUUCUGGGAAGCAUCUCACCACUGCCCUGAAGCUUACCAUUGUUAGGGAGCUUUUGUUUAGUUGACUAUAAAGUUUAUUUUGGAAGCUCUCACUUCUCUUCAUUAUCAUUUUCUUGAGAAAGUUUGUUCCUUUGUGGCAUUGUUUCACUACCGAACUUUACAUACUAAUUAUACUAAAAUUUUUCAAGAAAUUGGCUCUGCACAUGACAGCCUGGGAGGCCAAAAACCAGGAAACAAAUGGCAACAACUGAAAAGGCAAGCAUCUCAAAUCCUUUAAGCGCCCAGAAUCCCGAUGCGACUUCUUUCAGUGAGCCAGAAUUCAUGACUAUUGUGUUCUUGGUCUACAACAACUAAAUACGAAGGGGUUUUAAAAUCUGUGCUUAAUUCUUUUAUAAAUCUGACCUGUUUCACCAUACAUUUGAAAACUAAGGAUAUGUCAAGUUAGAAUUUACUCAAUGAAACCACAUUUUAAGGGUAGAAAUUAAGACUAAGGGGAAAAAGAGUUAUUCCUUUCUUUUAGUGUGCUGGUUAGACAGCAACAACAGAGUCCAGAGGAGCUUACAAUGAAAAGAGCAUUCCUUUCCCCUCCUCCCACCCGAAACUGCACUCCCCAUACACAGCUACUUUUAAAGUCUGUUCUAAGUUUCUCUGGUGGUUACUGCUAAAAGAAUUUAAGUAAAAAUGAUUAAUGUAUAACUAGCAGUAAAAACAACCAUAGACAUUGCCUAUUAAUCUUCUUACAUGAAAAAUGAAGAUUAAGUUCAUUUAUACUAACCCCCUCUCCCAUAUUUCUAAUAAUUAUAUUAUUCUAAUACUAUUAUUUGUUUCUUUUGUAAUCUUAA